AUUGAACGCUGGCGGCAUGCCUUACACAUGCAAGUCGAACGGCAGCACGGGUGCUUGCACCUGGUGGCGAGUGGCGAACGGGUGAGUAAUACAUCGGAACAUGUCCUGUAGUGGGGGAUAGCCCGGCGAAAGCCGGAUUAAUACCGCAUACGAUCUACGGAUGAAAGCGGGGGACCUUCGGGCCUCGCGCUAUAGGGUUGGCCGAUGGCUGAUUAGCUAGUUGGUGGGGUAAGGGCCUACCAAGGCGACGAUCAGUAGAUGGUCUGAGAGGACGACCAGCCACACUGGGACUGAGACACGGCCCAGACUCCUACGGGAGGCAGCAGUGGGGAAUUUUGGACAAUGGGCGAAAGCCUGAUCCAGCAAUGCCGCGUGUGUGAAGAAGGCCUUCGGGUUGUAAAGCACUUUUGUCCGGAAAGAAAUCCUUGGCUCUAAUACAGUCGGGGGAUGACGGUACCGGAAGAAUAAGCACCGGCUAACUACGUG
rnacentral:rRNA from 1 species